ACGUGACCUUUGACCUCUGAAGAGACGAGCCUUUAUCAAAUAGGAGCUGCUGCUGAGCUCACACAUUUCCAACACACAACCCUCCAAACAGGGUCACACGGGUUAAGAAACCGAUAUCUGGAAGUGGGAGCAGUUUUUGGACUUAAAAGCCUUCUGACCUCAUGUCAACAGCUCCCCUGCAUCCGUGUGUCCCAGUUCAGUGGAAGAAGCCAUUGAAGCAAACUGUUCCGAAUGGAUUUGCACAAACAGCAGCAUAUUUAUGUAUCAACAUUUCCUGAACCCUUGUGAUGCUCAUAAUGCAUAAGAUGAAUCCUUUAAACUGUCAAACCCUCGUAAAUCAGGGAGAUGGUGAAGGUAUCCGUCUGAUGUUUAAGCCACAGAGGAGAUUCUGUAAAACUGCAGCAAACAUGCUGCACUGACACAUUUAUCACAUGAUAAACACAAGCUGUUUUUUUCUGAAAUCAAAUCACCCAGAAAGCAGAAUGAGCUGUUAGCUGAAAAGUCACCUGAUAAUCAGAGGUUAUGGGGUCGGAAGCUGAAAGCUCAGCUGACACCUUUUUCCUCCUCUCCUGAAAACCAGGUGGACUUUCUCCGAUUACAACCCCACAGCCGGACCUCUCAGUACCCCAGACUUAAAGAGCAAGAGAGAAAAGAUUUUCCUCUUUCCCUUCCUCUGAUCAUUUCUUGUUUUUUUUAUUUUUUAUUAUUAAAUCUAUUAUCAAAAGAAAAUGUUUGUGGCGCCAUUUAAAAAGCAAAGUUCUGCUUUACAAAAUGAGUCACUCACUGUGAACUUUGCUACAUACUUCUUGUAUCAGUACGUAAGUGUAAAUGCUGUUAACCCUUA